UACGUAGGGGGCAAGCGUUGUCCGGAAUCAUUGGGCGUAAAGCGCGUGUAGGCGGCUCGAUAAGUCUGCUGUGAAAGUCCAGGGCUCAACCCUGGAAUGCCGGUGGAAACUGUCGGGCUAGAGUACGGAAGAGGUGAGUGGAAUUCCUGGUGUAGCGGUGAAAUGCGCAGAUAUCAGGAGGAACACCAAUGGCGAAGGCAGCUCACUGGGACGUUACUGACGCUGAGACGCGAAAGCGUAGGGAGCAAACAGG
rnacentral:rRNA from 1 species